rnacentral:hammerhead_ribozyme from 13 species
UGUGUGUCGCAAGAUGUAUGAAUAUUUAAACACUGAUGAGCCGUAAUACGGCGAAACGCAUG